AACAAACCCCCGUAGCCAGCACCUGGCUGGAGAAACGCGACAGGAUCAGCACCCAGGAGCCCCUCCCAGCCCCUCCCCGGGAGAACGCCCUCUGACUUCGGGCCUCUCGGGUUUGGGGUGUUUCCGUGCUUUCUGGGAACGGCUGCUUCCAGCCCCGCGCGCCGUCGCGUGUCGGUUCCCUGCUUUCGCCCGGCUCCAGCUGGGGCCGUUUAGCGCGGGGCCGCGGAACCUUCCCGCCCGUCUGGGUGAUGGGAAGUCCCUUUCUGUCACUCGGCGUUGGUGCGCGUCUCGGCCAGGUUUGCGGUGACAGCCGCGGCCUGGCGGCUCGCACAAGGGAGGCGCUUCGUGAACGGUGGUGACACGACCCCGGGGCAGGGCCAGCCUGGGGCCCACCUGCCCGCCCCGCGAGGCCAGCCCGCCGCUGACCGGGAGCCUGGCUUCUACUUUUCUUUGGGACACAAAACAUUCUUCCAGACCUGCGACCUGGCUCAUCACAAGACACGUCCGCCACCUCCUACAAAUACCAGCUUUGCACCGUUUUGUGGAGCACGCUAUCUGUGUCGCCCAGCAGAGCAUUAGAUGGAUGUUUAGUUGGCUCCGAAGACGGCUGCAGCCCCAGGGCCCAGGACGAGAGCUGAAUAAACUGAGAUCCAGAGAGGAACUGAAGGACCGAGGCCUCGGCUGCUGGGAUUCCAUGGGCUUCCCCAGUUUUCCAGGGAAACUCGCGAAGGUGGACCUGAGAUCUAUUUCAAGCUGGUUCCCAGCCUCGCUGUGGGACCACCAGGAGCUCACCUGCCCUCUCUGGGCUCCAGUCUCGCCUCUCUCAGGGAAUCAGAGGAGUUGGAUUAGAAAUAGCCAGUAUCAGAGCUCAAGACAACUGACCAGUGAUUGAGGAAUUUUAGUUCUCCAUUACAAAGACUCAGUGAUGCUCUCCCAUUCCGUAUGUACACAGCCCACAGAACACAACAUGCAGUUGCCUGUGCCUACGCAUCACACACCCUCUGGGACGCAGGCAUGGCAGACACCCGGCAUCAAUGCGCUGCUUCAGGGCGGUCCGUCCCAGGGGCGGCUUUCAUGGGCGUCUCUGGAGAAAUCUACUCCGUGGGGUUCGUGGGCUUAGGACCUUGGAAAACUUUCUGAAAUGUCGUUGACCAGCUUGGCUGACAUGUUAAUUUGCCUCCUGUUUCCAUUUUCUUCAUCUUGAGCAGCUCUCUCAGAUACGAUUAGUCAUGAGCCCUUCUCACACCUCUCAGAUAUUCUUUGUGGAACUGGGUCCAAAGUCUUUUUUGCAGGGCAGCAUACCAUUUCCUUAUAGCCCCCAAAACACUGCGUCCCAAGCUAUCUCAACAUUGGCUUGAUGCAAGGCUCAGUUAUUCUCUGGAUCUGCAGGUUGACGAUGGGUCUGCCAAGCUAGGCUGGGCGUUGGGGGGCGACGCGGCUCUGCUCCCUCGGUCUCUCAUCCCCUCUUCCUCCUCUCAGGCCAGCGGGCUGGUCUGGCCCGGGGUGUUUUUCCCACAGUGAUGGUGAGGAGAGCGGCCUGAGUGCACACCCUCUUCCAGUCUGGGCUAACAUCCCGCUGACCAGAGGAAGUCACAUGGCAAACCCAGAAUCAGAAGGUAGAGAAGUGUAUUCCAGGGUUAGAAGUGAGGGAAGAGAGUGAAAUGCUGGAAGAAUAAUUAUUGUCCGUGUCUACUAUUAUAAUUUAUAGGGUGUGGUGGUUU
rnacentral:lncRNA from 1 species